UCAUGGGAAUCAAAAUUCCAAUACAUUGUGAGAUACAAGAUAAUAAUGACACAGCACAUGAACUCAUUUGAAUUAUAGUUUUUCUCCCCAAGAACAGAAAAUAGCAUAGACUUUAACCAGCUCUUAAGCAUCCUCUUCAGAUAUCAUUCAAGCACCUAGCAAGCUCAUUCCAAAAUUUAGGAUGUUUACUAACUUUGAUAUUUAUAAAAGUAAAGUGGAGUCAGUUUCUCUGUGUGUGUGGUAUUUAUGUCCUUUUGCCUAUGCGUGGCCAUUUCAUAAUUAAUUGUAGACUUUUAUAUUAAUUUAAAAAACUGUUUACAGUUUAAGUCAUGUGUUUUUUUUGUAAAAAUGUGCUCCCAGUAAAUUAUUUCUUAACUUUAUUUGUUAUAAUGAUAAUAGAUAUAGUUAUAGAUCUGGUAAUGUAAGACUAGCUUGACCUCCACUAGAACACUAGAAAACCAAUAGGCCUUGUGUCAAAUAACAUAGUAAACCUCAAUUCAGACUGAGACUUCCACAAUGUGCCUUAAUUUUUCAGGAAUCAGCCAGUCUUCCGUGGGAAUAUUCAGCUAAAUAAUUGCCCAAGGUGAUCAUAUUAAAACUCAAAAUCACUUGGGGGUGGGGGAGAAGAAGAAAAACCCAGUGGAAAAAGGACUUUGGGAAAAAAAAAGGUCUCUACAAGAUCAUGACCUUGGAGCUUCCUCCCCCCCACUAUGGCAACCUAUGUACCUUCUUCCAAAUUUGGAGGAUCAUCAUGAAGGACAAGACCAUCUACAGAAUGGUCCCGUGUCUCCACACAGUCUCUGACUCCAAGUGGACUACUCAACUAUUUGUAAACUGGACUCACACUACUUGUAACUCCUCUGGUCAUUGCUGCUUUCAUGACUCCAGAAAAGGGAGAAUGCAGAAGAAAUGAACCAAUAUUAUCCAUAUCUUUUGCUCAUUUUUCCAUGAAUUGGAAGGGGGAUAUAUGGUCCUUCUAACCUGAAGCCUGUCCUUGUCCUGCCAUUUCUUCCCCAAGCUAACAUUACCAAGUUCCUCAGCCAUCUUGUAUACAAAAGCAUUCAGAAAGGUGUCUAAAAUGUCUUGCAGAUAUAGGGUGGGAAAUGAAUAGAGCUUUGGAAGUGACUUAGCUUCUUUAGGGAAAGGGACUUUAAAAGUGGCUUACCUUCUGCAGCAUUUGUGGGAGAUAGUGUUUGUGGGUCUAGGGGAUAUGAAUUAGACCUAUUGUUCAUGUGGUGUAACUGUUUAUGACAAUAAUGUGCAAUAGUUUCAGGGACUCUUAACUGUUGAGGAAGUAAAUAAAUUACAUAGAAUUGUGCAUUUUUUAAUUAUUUUGUUUCAUUUAGAUAUUAUGAACAAAUAUCCAUGCUUGACAGUGAUUUACCAAGAGGAAAUUUUGCCUUCUAAGCUUGUUAGAAAUAGUAAGAUGAACUCCAAUAGUAAUACAAUACCUUUCACACUAGAGUACUUUCUAUUAUAGUUUUUCCAUGCAUUUAUUGGUCUAGUCACAGUUUUAAAAUGGGACUACAAUCAUUUCAGGAAACAUAAUUUAUUAACUCAUGUCUGUGAAAAAAAUCUACACAAAAACAUUCAUGAAAGCAUACCAGUUGUGUCCUACUGGGAUAAUUCUACUAUAUCUCAUUUACAUAAUGAAACAAUGAUAAACUGUAAAACUUCACUGAAUACAAAUAUUGGUCCUCAGAAAUUAUCAUAGUCACCAGACUUAGUACAGGAAAACAGAGUUCUAUUUUUUUUUUAUGUUCAAUGAUGAAGCUAAUACUGGAUGGGAAUUUCAAAGCUGUCUAAGGAACUUGCAAGGUCACGAUUUUCUGUCAGUGAUUAGUGAUUUUUGAGGCUGCCAUUGUUCCAGCUUCAGAUGCCAUAAAGAACAUUGAUUUUCAAUUAUUUUCA